rnacentral:ncRNA from 16 species
GUCGAGAGGGCGGAGAAUACAAUACCCGAAAGGGGAAUAAUCCCGACCGUCUGUUUGCGGUUUUCGAACCUCUCGGCACCCUAUU